CGAGGCGUCUCUCUCUCCUCUCUUUCUCUCUGGGUAUGGGAUGACUGAUACAACUGAUCCAAAUCCGCCAUUGAUCCAUCUUUUCGAGGUUAGGCGAUGGUGUUGAAGCCGGAUUUUACGAAGCUAAAUAUGGAUGCUCUCUGCCUGGUCAAUUUUCCUCACUCUUCAGGUGAUACUCGAUUAUUAACCGGAUCCGAUGGUAUGAUGCCGUAGCAUUUGGUGUUGUCUGCCGUUUCUGCCGAGAUCUGUAUAACUUAACGGGCUCGUGUCUUUACCCAUCGUUCAUAUCAGUGUUGUUUGUCCGUUUGAUCAGUCUUCAUGUUCUGUUUCGUGUAUUUUGCUCCGAUAUACGAUUGCGAUUGUUGUGUUGCUUAUCUUUAUGAAGUUCCUUUCCGCUUGAUUCCAUAGCCAGCACGAGGGUGAUUUUUCUUUCACAGAAGCGUGAUUCCAAUUUAUAUGGUGAGUAUCCCAGUCAAAUACGAAUCUGAUCUUCUCCCACCACCUAUCGGAGCGAAUCGUAAUGGGGAUGGGAUGGGAGUCUCUUGUAAUAAGCUAUCUAAUAUUCGUUGUUCGCCUAGUGAGUCUAGGUUGGUGAAUAUUCCUAUUUUGUGAAAUUUUCUGUCUUUUCUUUUGGACCUAUGUAGAGGCCAAGUUUGAACAAAAGAUUUGCAGCUUAGAAGUUAUGCUGUCUCAGUAAGGGUUUACGACUUAUCAGAUCAUCUGCUCAACUGUUAUGCUUGACGGGUUAGGCCCUGGAUUUUCAUUCCAGGCGUGUGGAUGAAGAGUUUGGUGAAUGGCAGUAUUAUAGUAUUUCUAGAUUCUCUGUUACAGUAUUUCUCUUUAAAUUUACCCAUGGCUGUGAAAUGGUGGGAAGGUUUUCCUCAUAAUGUGUGAACAGGAGGUAGCAAUUUCAAUAAGUAGAAAGACUUUGAAACAUGGUGAUACUGGCUUGGUCAUAGUUGGUGGAAGGAUGGAAAUGCAGCCAUUUGUAUGACUGUGAACUGCGGUACUUGGCUUGCAUAUACUAAUUAUUUUGACUGCGACCUGCUGUUAGAAGCACAUGGACUCAUUGAGGAGCUUGGCAUGGCAGAAUGCUUAGAAACACAGAAGAAGUGCAACAGAGAAUAAAAAAGUGCAAAGUUUAUGCAUCCGCUUAUUGAUUCUGGUAUCUAUCAAAGCUGUGCCUCACUGCCUCCCUGUGAUUUCCUUUCAUCAGCAUCUCGUGGACAGCUAAAACAAGGAUGGAAAUGCAGCCAUUUGAUAUUGCAGCUCAGACUUCAGACGCAUCACACUUAAUUCCAUAACAUAGUUACAAGCUUGGUUUGCACGCUCUAAAUGGCGCUCACCUUGGAGAGGUGACAUUAGAACCCAUUCACCAGUGAUUGGCGAGCAAUCACGCAUUAGAAACCCAAUUUUCAUUAAGCGCUCAAGAUCCCGAAUCGGAUUAAAGUUGUGGUGAUCUAACCAUCCUUUAAAAGCUGCAUAUUGCUAGUUUAUGAAAACCCGUUUCCUAAACCGGGAGGUACUCAAUCAGCAUUUUCUCAGAGAACCAAAGUAUGCCAAUCUAACAUUUCUCAUUACGUUGUCCAUAUCAGGUAACAUCUGACAUGCCUUGGACCUCAUGGCCCACGAUGCUCUGUCUCUGUGGAAGCUUCUGACAGAUACAACAUGCUCAAAUCUCCAUUCCUUGUCGGGAAAGGAGUCCACUUCCAUGGUAUCCACCCUGAAUCGCUGCCUGCACGAUAAUCAGCCAAUGAUCCUCGAUGGAGGAGAUCAGGCAUCGGCCAUUGUUAUACCCCCUCGCCGAAGCAUCAAGAGUAAGUAGAAUGGGCUGACUGAUAUUUGCUGUCAUGACGUGGAAUGGAGUUUACGGGUUCGUUCAGACAAGACAGCCGGUUGCGUUACUGUUCAGUACAUUGGUGGGAUGUGUGUCUUAGUUGUGGUGGGAAUGAUGUAGGUCAUUCAACACUUGAACUCCACGACAGCCAAAGCCCCCGAGCUUCUUCUGGGUUUUCUCGAUGGGAACAGUCGAAAGGUUUCAUCUUUACGGAAGUUGAACCGGACCCAUUAGUGGUUUACUCAAACCGAGGAUCUUUUCUAUCAUAUCGGUUUGUUUUUUUUCCGUAGAGUCGGUGCGUUAUUUUCCUUGUGACCAAUGUUUAUAAUUUACCAACUUGGCUUAAGUGAUACGAUUUGAGGAUUUUUUUUU